rnacentral:rRNA from 1 species
AAUCCAUAGGUUAAUGAGGCGAACCGGGGGAACUGAAACAUCUAAGUACCCCGAGGAAAAGAAAUCAACCGAGAUUCCCCCAGUAGCGGCGAGCGAACGGGGAGGAGCCCAGAGCCUGAAUCAGCAUGUGUGUUAGUGGAAGCGUCUGGAAAGGCGCGCGAUACAGGGUGACAGCCCCGUACACAAAAGCGCAUGUGCUGUGAGCUCGAUGAGUAGGGCGGGACACGUGGUAUCCUGUCUGAAUAUGGGGGGACCAUCCUCCAAGGCUAAAUACUCCUGACUGACCGAUAGUGAACCAGUACCGUGAGGGAAAGGCGAAAAGAACCCCGGCGAGGGGAGUGAAAAAGAACCUGAAACCGUGUACGUACAAGCAGUGGGAGCCCCACCACCAAAGCAUUUGCUGUACCGCGUUGACGGAGCGAAGCGACGUCAAACCGAUAAAACAGCAGUGUAAAGUGAGCCGCAGGGCGCUUUGCGCGACAGCGCAAAGGCAGGCGGUUUCGCGUAGCGAAAGCGAAUGCUUUGGGGUGGGGUGACUGCGUACCUUUUGUAUAAUGGGUCAGCGACUUAUAUUCUGUAGCAAGGUUAACCGAAUAGGGGAGCCGGAGGGAAACCGAGUCUUAAUUGGGCGUUAAGUUGCAGGGUAUAGACCCGAAACCCGGUGAUCUAGCCAUGGGCAGGUUGAAGGUUGGGUAACACUAACUGGAGGACCGAACCGACUAAUGUUGAAAAAUUAGCGGAUGACCUGUGGCUGGGGGUGAAAGGCCAAUCAAACCGGGAGAUAGCUGGUUCUCCCCGAAAGCUAUUUAGGUAGCGCCUCGUGAAUUCAUCUCCGGGGGUAGAGCACUGUUUCGGCUAGGGGGCCAUCCCGGCUUACCAACCCGAUGCAAACUGCGAAUACCGGAGAAUGUUAUCACGGGAGACACACGGCGGGUGCUAACGUCCGUCGUGAAGAGGGAAACAACCCAGACCGCCAGCUAAGGUCCCAAAGUCAUGGUUAAGUGGGAAACGAUGUGGGAAGGCCCAGACAGCCAGGAUGUUGGCUUAGAAGCAGCCAUCAUUUAAAGAAAGCGUAAUAGCUCACUGGUCGAGUCGGCCUGCGCGGAAGAUGUAACGGGGCUAAACCAUGCACCGAAGCUGCGGCAGCGACACUGUGUGUUGUUGGGUAGGGGAGCGUUCUGUAAGCCUGUGAAGGUGUGUCGUGAGGCAUGCUGGAGGUAUCAGAAGUGCGAAUGCUGACAUAAGUAACGAUAAAGCGGGUGAAAAGCCCGCUCGCCGGAAGACCAAGGGUUCCUGUCCAACGUUAAUCGGGGCAGGGUGAGUCGACCCCUAAGGCGAGGCCGAAAGGCGUAGUCGAUGGGAAACGGGUUAAUAUUCCCGUACUUGGUGUUACUGCGAAGGGGGGACGGAGAAGGCUAUGUUGGCCGGGCGACGGUUGUCCCGGUUUAAGCGUGUAGGUGUGUGUUCCAGGUAAAUCCGGUUCACUUUAACACUGAGGCGUGACGACGAGGCACUACGGUGCUGAAGCAACAAAUGCCCUGCUUCCAGGAAAAGCCUCUAAGCAUCAGGUAACAUCAAAUCGUACCCCAAACCGACACAGGUGGUCAGGUAGAGAAUACCAAGGCGCUUGAGAGAACUCGGGUGAAGGAACUAGGCAAAAUGGUGCCGUAACUUCGGGAGAAGGCACGCUGACACGUAGGUGAAGUGAUUUACUCAUGGAGCUGAAGUCAGUCGAAGAUACCAGCUGGCUGCAACUGUUUAUUAAAAACACAGCACUGUGCAAACACGAAAGUGGACGUAUACGGUGUGACGCCUGCCCGGUGCCGGAAGGUUAAUUGAUGGGGUCAGCGCAAGCGAAGCUCCUGAUCGAAGCCCCGGUAAACGGCGGCCGUAACUAUAACGGUCCUAAGGUAGCGAAAUUCCUUGUCGGGUAAGUUCCGACCUGCACGAAUGGCGUAAUGAUGGCCAGGCUGUCUCCACCCGAGACUCAGUGAAAUUGAACUCGCUGUGAAGAUGCAGUGUACCCGCGGCAAGACGGAAAGACCCCGUGAACCUUUACUAUAGCUUGACACUGAACAUUGAGCCUUGAUGUGUAGGAUAGGUGGGAGGCUUUGAAGUGUGGACGCCAGUCUGCAUGGAGCCGACCUUGAAAUACCACCCUUUAAUGUUUGAUGUUCUAACGUGGACCCGUUACCCGGGUUGCGGACAGUGUCUGGUGGGUAGUUUGACUGGGGCGGUCUCCUCCUAAAGAGUAACGGAGGAGCACGAAGGUUGGCUAAUCCUGGUCGGACAUCAGGAGGUUAGUGCAAUGGCAUAAGCCAGCUUGACUGCGAGCGUGACGGCGCGAGCAGGUGCGAAAGCAGGUCAUAGUGAUCCGGUGGUUCUGAAUGGAAGGGCCAUCGCUCAACGGAUAAAAGGUACUCCGGGGAUAACAGGCUGAUACCGCCCAAGAGUUCAUAUCGACGGCGGUGUUUGGCACCUCGAUGUCGGCUCAUCACAUCCUGGGGCUGAAGUAGGUCCCAAGGGUAUGGCUGUUCGCCAUUUAAAGUGGUACGCGAGCUGGGUUUAGAACGUCGUGAGACAGUUCGGUCCCUAUCUGCCGUGGGCGCUGGAGAACUGAGGGGGGCUGCUCCUAGUACGAGAGGACCGGAGUGGACGCAUCACUGGUGUUCGGGUUGUCAUGCCAAUGGCACUGCCCGGUAGCUAAAUGCGGAAGAGAUAAGUGCUGAAAGCAUCUAAGCACGAAACUUGCCCCGAGAUGAGUUCUCCCUGAGACUUAGAGUCUCCUGAAGGAACGUUGAAGACGACGACGUUGAUAGGCCGGGUGUGUAAGCGCAGCGAUGCGUUGAGCUAACCGGUACUAAUGAACCGUGAGGCUUAACCUUACAACGCCGAAG